rnacentral:rRNA from 1 species
GACGAACGCUGGCGGCGUGCCUAAUACAUGCAAGUCGAACGAGUGGAGGAAGGGUGAGUAACACGUGGGAACCUACCCAUCAGAGGGGGAUAACCCUUGGAAACAGGUGCUAAUACCGCAUACAAUCAGAUGAACCCAUGUGGGAUUAGCUUGUGGGUGGGGUAACGGCGCACCAAGGCGACGACCCCUAGCUGGUCUGAGAGGAUGAUCAGCCACACUUGGACUGAGACACGGCCCAGACUCCUACGGGAGGCAGCAGUGGGGAAUCUUGCACAAUGGGCGAAAGCCUGAUGCAGCCACGCCGCGUGUAUGAUGAAGGUCUUCGGGUUGUAAAGUUCUUUCAUUCGGGAGGCGUUACCUACAGAGAAAGCACCGGCUAACUCCGUGCCAGCAGCCGCGGUAAUUC